GACGAACGCUGGCGGCGUGCCUAAUACAUGCAAGUCGAGCGAAGAGGCUUGGUGCUUGCACCAAUUUGAAGAGCAGCGAACGGGUGAGUAACGCGUGGGGAACCUGCCUUUGAGCGGGGGACAACUUCUGGAAACGAAUGCUAAUACCGCAUAAUAACUUUAAACAUAAGUUUUAAGUUUGAAAGAUGCAAUUGCAUCACCUAAAGAUGAUCUCGCGUUGUAUUAGCCAGUUGGUGAGGUAAAGGCCCACCAAGGCGAAGAUACAUAACCGACCUGAGAGGGUGGUCGGGCACACUGGGAAUGGGACAACGCCCAAGCUUCUAAGGGGAGCAGCAGGAAGGGAACUUCGGGAAUGGGGGGAAGGCUGACCGGGCAACGCCGCGGGGGUGGAGGAGGGUUUCGGAUCGUAAAACUCUGUUGAUAGAGAAGAACGAUAGUGGGAGUGGAAAGCUCAUAAAGUGACGGUAACUACCCAGAAAGGGACGGCUAACUACGUG
rnacentral:rRNA from 1 species